CGGAAGCCCAUGAGGAUACUAACCAUUGGGAUGAGAGUCAUACUAUUGCUGAACAAAUCCGACCCAUAUUCAGGCUACAAUAGAUAGUUAUAUAACGUGUCUCUGGCACUGCUGUGUGAACCACUGCUACCCAUCACGCAUCUCCAUGGCGCAGCGCGGGAGCGUCCACUCACUCCCUCCCUGUGCGGCCAAAGCACCACUCGUACUCCAUCAGCCAUGUCCUCCGUCACCUUACCUGAACUCUGGGAUUACUUUAUAAUGUACAUGACUGGAGUGAAAGAGUUUAAUCCACAUACCCGGGAACUUGACCUGAGAAUGUUCCCCGUGAGGAUGACCAGUACCUGUCAGAACAGUAGAAGGACACUAAUGGGUCCGUAUGGGGUAGACCGUGCCGUUCAUGAAAUAGAAUUUACUGACUGUGAGAAUGGACUGGGGAUCAAAGUGAUUGGAGGAAUGAAGGAGUUAACGGGAGAGGAGUUUGGAGUCUACGUGAAAAGGAUUUUACCUGGUGGCCUUGCUUCAAGUGAUGGACACCUCCAGGCGGGAGACCAGAUCUUGGAGGUGAAUGGGGAGAGUUUACUAGGGGUCACUAGUGAAAGAGCAGUAGACGUUCUGAGAUCAGCGUCCUCGAGCAACCAAAUGCGCCUUCUGAUCGCCAGAGACGAGGAAGCCAGGAGAGAGUUUUCAGAGCUUUUGGAGAAGUAUGGAUCCAGCAGUAGUACUGGGUCGACACGCAACUCUCCCAUCCAGCAUGGCAGAUAUCUGGACAGCACAUCGUCC
ensembl:lncRNA